AUAAAAAAAAAAAAAAAUUGGAUUCCUUUUGUAUGGAACAAGAAAUGGUAUCUUAUUCUAGGAAAAGCAAUCUAUUUCCAUUUCCAGAACAAACCAAACACCAUCCUUCAUGUUUAGUCUCUUCUUAUAGCUGAAAUUCAGUAUUGACCAUGAAAUUAAUGAAUGUAAGCUGUCCAAAAGUGAUCUAGUAGGUAUUAAUUUUCACUCUGAUUUUUGUGUAUGGUUGAGCUGCUUGAGCAUCUUGAGCAAGACUUGAGGUUUAGAAUUUUUCAUUUUAACCUAUUUAGAAGUUCCAUUGAGGCAAAAUCUUAAGUCAAUAGCAUUUGGGAAUUUAGUGGUUGCAAAAGUUUCUAAAAGGUUUAAAUGGCUAAAUAUUGUUUUUAUUUUUCUUCCUUUUGUUUCUAUCAAGUGAUUAAUGUAGUGUAGGCUUGAUUGUCAAGUGGAACCUAUUGUCUUUUGUUUUAUUAGAACAUAGAUUUAAAUUGCAGUAGUGAUUUGAAUGAUGAUCACAAUUGUAUAAUUAACCAUUUAUUUGUUCUGCUGAUGGAAUUGCAGCGCUUCAUAUGGCUGCAGCGA
rnacentral:misc_RNA from 1 species